rnacentral:tRNA from 1 species
GGUAAGAUGGCCGAGAGUAGGCAGCGAGCUGUAGACUCGUGCACAGGGGUUCAAGUCCACUUCUUAUCA